rnacentral:misc_RNA from 1 species
AAGGAUCAUUACAGAGUUCAUGCCCUCACGGGUAGAUCUCCCACCCUUGAAUACUAUACCUUUGUUGCUUUGGCGGGCCGCCUUGGCUACUGGCUCCGGCUGGUAAGUGCCCGCCGAAAGGACCCCAAAACUCUGAAUAUUAGUGUCGUCUGAGUACUAUAUAAUAGUUAAAACUUUCAACAACGGAUCUCUUGGUUCUGGCAUCGAUGAAGAACGCAGCGAAAUGCGAUAAGUAAUGUGAAUUGCAGAAUUCAGUGAAUCAUCGAAUCUUUGAACGCACAUUGCGCCCCUUGGUAUUCCGAGGGGCAUGCCCGUUCGAGCGUCAUUAUAACCCCUCAAGCCUAGCUUGGUGUUGGGGCCUGCUGUUACCGGCAGCCCUUAAAAUCAGUGGCGGUGCCAUCUGGCUCUAAGCGUAGUAAUACUUCUCGCUACAGAGUCCUGGUGGAUGCUUGCCAUCAACCCCUAAUUUUCUAUGGUUGACCUCGGAUCGGGUAGGGAUACCCGCUGAACUUAA